GUGUGUGUGUUUGGAAAUUUUGGGUUUCGGUCAUGGUGGCUUUGGGUUUCUGUUAUGGUGGUUAGGUGCGAUGGUAAGCAUGGACCGGUCUGGAUAGGGUGGCAAAGGGGGGAGGGUGAUGGUGUUACGACGGCAGGAUGAUUCCCGAUGGAGAAGAUGACGGGAUAGGGAGGUUUGGAUAAGGUGGUGGAUGAACACGUGUAUAGUGUGCUGGUGAAUGGGGAUUAUCAGGUGGGGGAGAUAAAUGAUAAUGGGGUUGUCUGUGUGAGUUUUUUUUGUUGAUUUGGUCGUUGGAAUUUUUGUGUUAAGGCAAGGAAGCUGAUCAUGGUAUAACAAGAAAGGUGGAGCUAGGAUGGAGGUUCUAAUGAGGAUGAAGAUGGCGGUUCUAUUGCUUUUUUUUUUGUUGUGUUUUCCUGAUAAAUAUUUAGCUUAACAACAAAGGGGAUGGUGAUGAUGGGUAAGGAAGUAGGCUACUAUAGUGGCUGGAGAUGAUGGUGAGUGAGGACGAAGAGCAGAGAAGAUUCAUAUACAAGUAAAGCGAUAAGAGGCAUAAAACUCAUACGCAGGCAGAGCAAAAGGAGGCAUAAACCGCAAUAGCAAGCACGAAAAGCAGUCCAUAAUACAACAAACCUUACUCCAUUAUACAUGCCAACAUGAACAAGCGAAUGAGCGAAGGAGUCGUUUACUUGAAUUUUUGUGCUAUUGCUAACCUCGUGCUCUUGAUGAUCUCCUCCCUUCUCUUGGUCGGCUUCCCUUUUGUUUUCUACUACCCUUUUUUUUUGUAAAGUUAGUGA
rnacentral:lncRNA from 1 species